AGCGUCAUUUAAAGGACCUAGAGUCAUGCAAACUCCCAGAAGUGCCUCUAGUGGCUGUCUUAAUACAGCAAUGUUUAGUUUCUCUAAAACUGUAAUAAUCUACAUUGCAGAGCUAAUGGGGACAGUUACACUGCACCUAGACCAUUUCAAUGAGCUGAAGCCUGCUCGAUCCUGUCCCAUCUCACCUCAUCAGAUCUCUCUCCCUUGUCUUGUGCC